CCUACGGGAGGUAGCAGUGAGGAAUAUUGGUCAAUGGGCGUAAGCCUGAACCAGCCAAGUCGCGUGAGGGAUGAAGGUUCUAUGGAUCGUAAACCUCUUUUAUAAGGGAAUAAAGUGUGGGACGUGUCCUGUUUUGUAUGUACCUUAUGAAUAAGGAUCGGCUAACUCCGGGCCAGCAGCCGCGGUAAUACGGAGGAUCCGAGCGUUUUCCGGAUUUAUUGGGUUUAAAGGGUGCGUAGGCGGCCUUUUAAGUCAGCGGUGAAAGUCUGUGGCUCAACCAUAGAAUUGCCGUUGAAACUGGGAGGCUUGAGUAUGUUUGAGGCAGGCGGAAUGCGUGGUGUAGCGGUGAAAUGCUUAGAUAUCACGCAGAACCCCGAUUGCGAAGGCAGCCUGCCAGGCCAUGACUGACGCUGAUGCACGAAAGCGUGGGGAUCAAACAGGAUUAGAUACCCUUGUAGUC
rnacentral:rRNA from 1 species